GGGUGACCUCAGAUCAGGUAGGGAUACCCG
rnacentral:rRNA from 6 species